UGACCUGCCGGAAGGAUCAUUA
rnacentral:rRNA from 1 species